CGUGGCUUACAACCGCACUUCAUAAGGUACAAAAGUAUGCUUGCAUCACCUUACUUGGCGAGUCUUAACGAAAGA
rfam:Erysipelotrichaceae bacterium MTC7 Contig_7, whole genome shotgun sequence.